rnacentral:rRNA from 1 species
UACCAGCACCCCGAGUGGUCGGGACGUUUAUUGGGCCUAAAGCAUCCGUAGCCGGUUCUUCAAGUCUUCCGUUAAAUCCACCUGCUCAACAGAUGGGCUGCGGAAGAUACUAUGGAGCUAGGAGGCGGGAGAGGCAAGCGGUACUCGAUGGGUAGGGGUAAAAUCCGUUGAUCCAUUGAAGACCACCAGUGGCGAAGGCGGCUUGCCAGAACGCGCUCGACGGUGAGGGAUGAAAGCUGGGGGAGCAAACCGG